rnacentral:rRNA from 1 species
AGCGGCGAACGGGUGAGUAAUACGUAGGUGAUCUGCCCAUCAGACGGGGACAACGAUUGGAAACGAUCGCUAAUACCGGAUAGGACGAAAGUUUAAAGGUGCUUCUGGCACCGCUGAUGGAUGAGCCUGCGGCGCAUUAGCUAGUUGGUAGGGUAAAGGCCUACCAAGGCGACGAUGCGUAGCCGACCUGAGAGGGUGAACGGCCACACUGGGACUGAGACACGGCCCAGACUCCUACGGGAGGCAGCAGUAGGGAAUCUUCGGCAAUGGGCGAAAGCCUGACCGAGCAACGCCGCGUGAAUGAUGAAGGCCUUCGGGUUGUAAAAUUCUGUUAUAAGGGAAGAACGACUUUAGUAGGAAAUGGCUAGAGUGUGACGGUACCUUAUGAGAAAGCCACGGCUAACUACGUGCCAGCAGCCGCGGUAAUACGUAGGUGGCGAGCGUUAUCCGGAAUUAUUGGGCGUAAAGAGCGCGCAGGUGGUUGAUUAAGUCUGAUGUGAAAGCCCACGGCUUAACCGUGGAGGGUCAUUGGAAACUGGUCGACUUGAGUGCAGAAGAGGGAAGUGGAAUUCCAUGUGUAGCGGUGAAAUGCGUAGAGAUAUGGAGGAACACCAGUGGCGAAGGCGGCUUCCUGGUCUGUAACUGACACUGAGGCGCGAAAGCGUGGGGAGCAAACAGGAUUAGAUACCCUGGUAGUCCACGCCGUAAACGAUGAGUGCUAAGUGU